rnacentral:tRNA from 1 species
GCCCCCGUAGCUCAGGUGGAUAGAGCGGCAGAUUCCUAAUCUGUAGGCCGUGAGUUCAAGUCUCGCCGGGGGCACCA